GGGUACUGGGAAUUGAACUCAGGACCUCAUGCUUGCAAGGCAGGUGCUGCACCACUGAGCUAAAUCCCCAGCCCCUCCCCACAACCUUUAAAGACAGAGAUUCCCAUUAUAUUACCAGGAUUGAGUGCAGUGGCUAUGCACAAGCACUCCCUAUGCAAAGAGAUAUUGAUGCCACUCUUAGUAUGAUGUCCAUCUUAGUUUAAUGCCCAAUUGUCAUAGGACAUUAUAACAGCCAACUUCUGGGCUCAGUCUCUUGAGUUUUGGCAACUACAGGGGUGCAUCAUCACAUCUGGCUUCAGGACGUACUUUUUUGUGGUGUGGUAUGGUGGUGCAUGCCUGUAAACCCAGCACUCAGGAGGCUGAGACAAAAGUAUUUCGAGUUUGGGACUAGUCUGCACUACACCAAAAAUAAGGAAUCAUGGUAAGUAGGUUUACUGACUCAGGAAUAGGUUGGUUCACCAACUGAGGAGGAAAAAAAAAAUCAAUGAAAUUUGCCCAAUUACGAGAUCAGCAAAGAAAGCCAUGUCUCAUAAUACCUUAUGUGGCACAAGAUCCAUCAUUCAGUUAUGAAACUCAGCAUUCUAGGACGAAAGACCCACCGCCUCAAUCUAUUAAGGGUCAUCUACCAAAAGCCUGCAGCUAAAAACCUCACAAUGAGGGACCAAAUGUCUCCCUGAACGGAAAGAAGCACAAGGGGUGUCCACUGUCACCGUUUAUGUUUGGCUGUGCUGGAGACCUGGCCACUGUAAUGGCAGGAAAAACAUAAAAAUGGCAUGAGUUGAGAAAGACAUAAACCUCUCUUUAUUAGUAAAUGACACGAUUAUCAUUGUUGAAAAAGUCUAUGAAAUAGCUAUUAGGAUUUAUACAUGAAUUUAGCAAAGCUGCUGAAUAUACAAUGAAUACACAAAAAUUAACAUUUCUAAAUAUACAAAAUGAACUGGAAAUUGAGAUUUUAGAAGUAUCUUAUAUAAUGGCACUAAACUGCAUAAAAUCCUUAGCAACCAAUUCAACAGAAUAUGUCCAAGGUCUGUACAAUGAAAAAUAGACAUGAUAUACAACCACUUCACAGAGAAUGGUUCGUUAUGCUCUCCAGCUAAGGAAGAUUAAAUUACAUUCACAGGAAUCCUAAGGUACAUUGAGGAAUCCUUUAAAAUAAAAACUAUCCAUUCCCAUCCAUCCUCUCCUGGCUUGAACUCAGGGUUUCAUACCUGCUAGGCAAGCACUCUAACCUGAGCUACAUCCCCAACCCCUUACAACAGGGUCUCACUAGGCCCAGGCUGGUCUCUAAGUUGAUAUCUUCCAGCCUCAGCCUCCUGAGUUAUGGGAUUACAGUCAUAAACCACCAUGCAUGGCCUCCAUGUUUGGUUUAGAACAAUGGAUUCCACUCUAGUAUUUUAUUUGUUCCAGUCAAGAUACAAGGGAUGGCUCAGCUAAGAGGAAUGUUCCAAUUCUAACAGAAAAGAUUUCAUAACUUUCUUUAAAUGAUGAGUGACAAAUAUACCACUAUGGUAACCAUUAAGAUACCUAACAAUGUUACCAUGAUGCAGUCCUUUGAGUCAUACUUUCAUGGGCCUGGGAUUCACAGCCUGAAUAUUUGAUGUUUUCUGGCCUGCUGACUAUGCUCUCUUCUAAUGAGUAGAAGAAAUCUUCCAAAUAAAAAGCUGUGCGGAAGCAAACCCUCCAUAUCUCUGUUUACUACUUUUGCAGUUGCUGAUAAUGCAGAUUCUGACAGCUCAGACUCAGUUUGAGGGAGAGCCUCCUCCUCUCCCUGGCUGCCACCACAGCCUUCUGAAGAAGUGUGCAAAGGGACCUCAUGCUCCAAGCAUGGACAAGUCACGCUCAGUCUCAAGACAUAUGCUAACUCUUCUGAGCCCCCGAAUACCGUGCCCCUGGGAAAAGCUGAAGAACUACAAGUCCCCUGGUACUGCACUGUGCCCACCAAAGACCCAAGAGGGCAGAGGGAUGCUGGGAAUUUAACCAAGUCAUCUGACUCAGACACUGUAAAACAUGGGGCAGAGCUUUCUGUGUAGUGAAGAGUUAGGCAGCUGAAAUUCAAUCUCUGUGAAGUGAUAAGCCUUAAUUUCUGAGAACCCCAUUACUAAGAUCUUUAACUCAACACAGUAGGGCAGUACUUAGUCAAAUAACAAUAUAAAGACAUAGAGGGAAAGGCCCCGUGCCAACUUUCAGGUUUAGAAGUGUAUUUCAUGAUUUUUUUCAGCAGUACAUUUUAGAACAAAACUAACCCAGCAACGAACUACAUGUACAUAAACUCAGGAGUUGCCUAAACCAGGGGACUUUGUAUAAAAGAUUCUAUUCAUAAAUAAAACAACCUUCGUUCAAAGUAA